rnacentral:rRNA from 1 species
GACGAACGCUGGCGGCGUGCUUAACACAUGCAAGUCGAACGGAAAGGCCCUGCUUUUGUGGGGUGCUCGAGUGGCGAACGGGUGAGUAACACGUGAGUAACCUGCCCUUGACUUUGGGAUAACUUCAGGAAACUGGGGCUAAUACCGGAUAGGAGCUCCUGCUGCAUGGUGGGGGUUGGAAAGUUUCGGCGGUUGCGGAUGGACUCGCGGCUUAUCAGCUUGUUGGUGGGGUAGUGGCUUACCAAGGCUUUGACGGGUAGCCGGCCUGAGAGGGUGACCGGCCACAUUGGGACUGCGAUACGGCCCAGACUCCUACGGGAGGCAGCAGUGGGGAAUAUUGCACAAUGGGCGGAAGCCUGAUGCAGCAACGCCGCGUGCGGGAUGACGGCCUUCGGGUUGUAAACCGCUUUCGCCUGUGACGAAGCGUGAGUGACGGUAAUGGGUGAAGAAGCACCGGCUAACUACGUG